rnacentral:rRNA from 1 species
GUCGAACGAUCCCUUCGGGGAUAGUGGCGCACGGGUGCGUAACGCGUGGGAAUCUGCCCUUGGGUUCGGAAUAACUUCUGGAAACGGAAGCUAAUACCGGAUGAUGACGUAAGUCCAAAGAUUUAUCGCCCAAGGAUGAGCCCGCGUAGGAUUAGCUAGUUGGUGAGGUAAAGGCUCACCAAGGCGACGAUCCUUAGCUGGUCUGAGAGGAUGAUCAGCCACACUGGGACUGAGACACGGCCCAGACUCCUACGGGAGGCAGCAGUAGGGAAUAUUGGACAAUGGGGGAAACCCUGAUCCAGCAAUGCCGCGUGAGUGAUGAAGGCCUUAGGGUUGUAAAGCUCUUUUACCCGGGAUGAUAAUGACAGUACCGGGAGAAUAAGCUCCGGUUAACUCCGUGCCAGCAGCCGCGGUAAUACGGAGGGAGCUAGCGUUGUUCGGAAUUACUGGGCGUAAAGCGCACGUAGGCGGCUAUUCAAGUCAGAGGUGAAAGCCCGGGGCUCAACCCCGGAACUGCCUUUGAAACUAGAUAGCUUGAAUCCAGGAGAGGUGAGUGGAAUUCCGAGUGUAGAAGUGAAAUUCGUAGAUAUUCGGAAGAACACCAGGUGGCGAAGGCGGCUCACUGGACUGGUAUGGCGCUGAGGUGCGAAAGCGUGGGGAG